rnacentral:rRNA from 1 species
ACUCAAAGGAAUUGACGGGGACCCGCACAAGCGGUGGAGCAUGUGGUUUAAUUCGACGCAACGCGAAGAACCUUACCUGGACUAGAAUGUGAGGGAAUGUCGGGUAAUGCCGGCAGUCCGGGAAACCGGACCCAAAACAAGGUGCUGCAUGGCUGUCGUCAGCUCGUGUCGUGAGAUGUUGGGUUAAGUCCCGCAACGAGCGCAACCCUUAUCAACAGUUGCCAUCAUUAAGUUGGGAACUCUGUUGAGACUGCCGUUGAUAAAACGGAGGAAGGUGGGGAUGAUGUCAAGUCAUCAUGGCCUUUAUGUUCAGGGCUACACACGUGCUACAAUGGACGGUACAAAACGUCGCAAUCUCGUAAGAGGGAGCUAAUCGCUAAAACCGUUCUCAGUUCGGAUUGAAGUCUGCAACUCGACUUCAUGAAGUUGGAAUCGCUAGUAAUCGCAAAUCAGCAUGUUGCGGUGAAUACGUUCCCGGGUCUUGUACACACCGCCCGU